AAUAAUAAUAAUAAUAACAGGAAUUGGAGGGGAAAAAGGAAAUUGGUAUUCGGAUGAAACGAAAGGCUAUCUACAAUGUGUGUGUGUGUGUGUGUGUGUGUGUGUGUGUGUGUGUGUGUGUGUGUGUGUGUGUGUGUGUGUGUGUGUGUGUGUGUGUGUGUGUGUGA